GAUGAACGCUAGCUACAGGCUUAACACAUGCAAGUCGAGGGGCAGCAGGAAUCUAGCUUGCUAGAUUUGCUGGCGACCGGCGCACUGGUGAGUAACACGUAUGCGACCUGCCCCGGACAGGGGGAUAAACCCGGGAAACUGGGCCUAAUACCCCAUAUGCCUCAGUGAUGCAUGUCUUUGAGGUGAAAGAUCCGUCGGUCCGGGAUGGGCAUGCGGCGCAUUAGCUAGUUGGCGGGGCAACGGCCCACCAAGGCGACGAUGCGUAGGGGUUCUGAGAGGAAGGUCCCCCACACUGGUACUGAGACACGGACCAGACUCCUACGGGAGGCAGCAGUGAGGAAUAUUGGUCAAUGGACGAUAGUCUGAACCAGCCAAGUCGCGUGCGGGAUGAAGGCCCUCCGGGUCGUAAACCGCUUUAGCCGGGGAGUAACGUGGGGGACGCGUCCCUCAGUGAGAGUACCCGGAGAAUAAGCAUCGGCUAACUCCGUGCCAGCCGCCGCAGUAAAAC
rnacentral:rRNA from 1 species